UACGUAGGGUGCGAGCGUUAAUCGGAAUUACUGGGCGUAAAGCGUGCGCAGGCGGUUCGUUGUGUCGGCGGUGAAAGCCCCGGGCUCAACCUGGGAAUGGCCGUUGAAACUGGCGAACUGGAGUGUGGCAGAGGGGGGUGGAAUUCCCGGUGUAGCGGUGAAAUGCGUAGAUAUCGGGAGGAACAUCAGUGGCGAAGGCGGCUACCUGGCCCAAUACUGACACUCAGGUGCGACAGCGUGGGGAGCAAACAGG
rnacentral:rRNA from 1 species